AUUGAACGCUGGCGGCAGGCCCAACACAUGCAAGUCGAACGAGUGGCGGACGGGGGAGUAAUGUCGGGGAAACUGCAUGAUGGAGGGGGAUAACUACUGGAGACGGUAGCUAAUACAGCACACCAUCGGAUGUGGCCAGAUGGGAUUAGAUAGGAGGUGGGGUAACGGCGAACCUAGGCGAAGAUCCCUAGCUGGUCUCAGAGGAUGACAUGCCACACUGGAACUGUGACAGUGUCCAGACUCCUACGUGAGGCAGCCGUGGGGAAUAUUGCCCAAUGGGCGCAAGCCUGAUGCAGCCAUGCCGCGUGUAUGAAGAAGGCCUUCGGGUUGUAAAGUACUUUCAUCGGGGAGGCGUUACCCGCAGAAGAAGCACCGGCUAACUCCGUGCCAGCAGCCGCGGUAAUUC
rnacentral:rRNA from 1 species